rnacentral:lncRNA from 1 species
AGAAAAGGUCUGAGAUAAGACUGGGCUGACUUUGUGAGCUCCAGGCAGAGACUGCAGCUGUGAAGUAUAGCCUUUGACCCAUCCCAUAAGGUCCAGGGCUCUGACAACUGCUGGCAUGGAGGAAAUUGUGGGGACCACCUGGAUGGACACCCUUGACUGAGAUGAUACCAUUCAGAGGGAAGCUUAAUGGAAACUCAGACCACCUGUGAAGUCUGUUAACCCUCCUCUGCUAUCUUGCUGUAUGUGUCUUUGGACAGCCAAUCAGAAAACAUUUU